rnacentral:rRNA from 1 species
CCUACGGGAGGCAGCAGUGAGGAAUAUUGGUCAAUGGACGAGAGUCUGAACCAGCCAAGUAGCGUGAAGGAUGACUGCCCUAUGGGUUGUAAACUUCUUUUAUAUGGGAAUAACAUGUUCCACGUGUGGGCUUUUGUAUGUACCAUAUAAAUAAGGAUUGGCUAACUCCGUGCCAGCAGCCGCGGUAAUACGGAGGAAUCGAGCGUUAUCCGGAUUUUUUUGGUUUAAAGGGAUCGUAGGUGGAUUGUUAAGUUAGUUGUGAAAGUUUGCGGGUCAACCGUAGAAUUGCAGUUGAAACUGGCAGUCUUGAGUAGAGUAGAGGUGGGCGGAAGUCGGGGUGUAGCGGUGAAAUGCUUAGAUAUCACGAAGAACUCCGAUUGCGAAGGCAGCUCACUGGACUGCAACUGACACUGAGGCUCGAAAGUGUGGGUAUCAAACAGGAUUAGAUACCCGAGUAGUC